rnacentral:tRNA from 1 species
GCCAGUGUGGUGUAGUGGUUUGAGUGUUGGACUACAACUCCGGAGACCAGGUUCUAUUCCCAGCUCAGUCC